UGGGGAAUAUUGGACAAUGGGCGAAAGCCUGAUCCAGCCAUGCCGCGUGUGUGAAGAAGGUCUUCGGAUUGUAAAGCACUUUAAGUUGGGAGGAAGGGCAUUAACCUAAUACGUUAGUGUUUUGACGUUACCGACAGAAUAAGCACCGGCUAACUCUGUGCCAGCAGCCGCGGUAAUACGAAGGGUGCAAGCGUUAAUCGGAAUUACUGGGCGUAAAGCGCGCGUAGGUGGUUCGUUAAGUUGGAUGUGAAAGCCCCGGGCUCAACCUGGGAACUGCAUCCAAAACUGGCGAGCUAGAGUACGGUAGAGGGUGGUGGAAUUUCCUGUGUAGCGGUGAAAUGCGUAGAUAUAGGAAGGAACACCAGUGGCGAAGGCGACCACCUGGACUGAUACUGACACUGAGGUGCGAAAGCGUGGGGAGCAAACA
rnacentral:rRNA from 1 species